CUUGUUUCUCCUUGGCUUCCUCAUAUUUGUCAGCUAAGCGCUCAGCCAUUUCCCGUAGACUCUUCCUGAUGGCAUAAGAAACAAAAGACUCUUGGGGUUCACUGAUGUGUUCAACAUCUUGAGUAAAGCAGAUAUGAAAUAGCUGAAGACAGAAAGGAUGAACAAUAAUUUUGAAAAGAGAGAACAAAACCCAUUCUUAAAAUCUGGAUGCCCAAGAUCACAUACUUGAGAAAUGCUGGAUUGGCAACACUACGUUGCAAAAUGCUUCUAAUAUGCUUUUCAAAGGAAUCUGGGGUCUCAGCCAGAAUACGGAGAGGGGACUCUGUCACUUCAACAUCUUCUCGGGUACACAGAAGGGGAGGAGAAGCUGGAUGGACAGUACUCCUAUAAAACAGAUAAAUGAAAGUCUACCAAUGGAAUUAUUUACUAUAUGAAAGCAUAAACCAAACUUAUCCAGAACUUGGAGAACAUAAACAAAAAGUUGUUACUCAAAAGCACAAGAAUGUAUGUUUUCCACCUUGAAGAGAUCACGUUCAGAAGUUGUCCCUUUAUGCUGCCAUGUGUGAAAGCAUUUUGGACUCUACCAACAGAUCCUUUCCGCAAAGGACUCAAGAACUUGUUUUAAAAGCUAGAGCCACAAACAAGUCACUCCUUUCUUAGGUACAGACUUGAUCAACACCAAUUUAAGACAGAUAACAACUAUAUGCCAUAUGCAGUUGUAUAUAACUUGAUUCCUAAAAAUUGUAUGCCCUCAAUCAUAAAUAUUUGCAAAGGCAAUUUUAGAAAGUGCUUGAAAGAGUAUAAAAUUUUGGUAACAUGGUAACUAACUUACUUUGAAAAUGACAAUUUAAAUUCACAAGGUUUGUUAAACAGUGACAUUACUUUACAGAUAAUCUAUAUUUUAGGGAGUUGGCAGAAACAUGAUUUGAAGGUAUCCAGAUAAUUGAGUUUUUUCACCAUUUAGGAUUCAUAUCUUUACUCUGAAAUUGGUGUGACUAGGUCCUAUUUUACUAAAGGUAUGUGGACUUUUGAAAAAUAUGCUGAGGCUGGGGCUGGGAUUUGUGGCUCAGUGGUAGAGCACUCGCCUAACAUGCAUGAGGCACUGGGUUCAAUCCUCAGCACCACAUAAAUGUAAAAUAAAGAUAUUGUGUUCACCUAAAACUAAAAAAUAAAUAUUAAAAAGAAAGAAAAGAUUCCCAGGAGAUGUCAACAUACCAGUGAUUUUA